CUAAAAAGUCAUUAUGGCAUUAUUAACUUCGUAAUCAGAAUUAGGGUUUGUGAGGAAGGAGGUUGAUCAGAAUUAAUUAAUGCAGCUGGUUGAUCUCAGAUGCUUAUGCUCUUCGAGGUUUUGUUCUUCUUCUUCUUUGCCUUUUUUUUUUCAAUUCUUUAAUUUUAUUUGAUGAAUAGUUGAUGAAAUAGCCGUCAACAUUACAAUCUGGAGGAAACGCAGGGACUCUCUCUCUCGUUUGAUGAUUUCGUGGGUUAAUUGAUUCAUCAGGUGCAACUUUUCCUGUGUGGCUUGUAGGCCUCAAAUCAACCGGUUCUAAGCCUUGAAAAAGGAGGCGGCAAAGUGUUUAAGGAAUGUUGCUUCUCCUGUUCACUUAAAGCUGUUGGUGAGUUUUUUCUGCUAGCUUUAAGGACGGUGUUCGUCUUUCUGUUCAGCUUGAUAAUUAUAGAUCUGAUUGGUGAAGGCAUGGAAUUUAGCACUUCUUGAUUGCGUUUGGAGUUCUUUUGGGGGCCCGCAGGUACAUUUUGUUCAUACAUUCUCUUGUUAUUAAUUGGGGAGGUGAUGCGUUCUGGAAAUUUGAGCAAUGCAUGGGCAUUGGUUUGGACAUGCUGCUGCUUCACAUCUUCUUUUUUUUAAUUAAUACCUGCCAGUGUUUCUAUUGAUUUUACUAUUGCUCUCUCCUGUGGAGGUUCUUAAUGUUUCUAUUGAUUUUACUAUUGCUCUCUCCUGUGGAGGUUCUUACCCAGGUGUGAUCUGAGUUGUUAUGAAUGCAUGUGUGGGCGACUCAGAUUUUGAAUGCAAUUGCUCUUAGCUGUUUUAUUUGGUGCCAGAUUUCUUACUAUAAUUUCAGUGAGUCCAGAGUCCAAUAUUUAUUUGGAGGUUCCAUUAGACUGGUGUAUUUUGAAGGUAUCUUAAUCGAGUACUAUUAAAAUUCUUCUUCCAAUCAUACAUGGUGCUUUACUUCCUCCAGAAGUUCUUCAAAUUCGUAUGAGCUUUUAUCAAUCACAACUCUGUAGUUGUUGAAGUCAGAUGCGAUAGUUACAUUGCGCCUCCUACUUUUGGUCUUUUUGUUGUUUAUCACGGCUUGAUUGUUGUUGAAUAAAGUGCGUGGGUCUAAUAAAGUUAGUUAUUAUAGUUUUCUUUGGUUGUAACGACAUUGUUCGUCUGAGGUGCUUCUGGUUCUUCAUUAUGGUGCAGAUCUUGUCUGCUACUGCAAAAUCAGGUGAUUCUCUCUCGGGUCUUUUUAUGUAAUAAUUUCCUAGAUGCAUAGUUGUCAAUGCCGAAUUGUCAAUGCUGAGUUGGGCCUGCAUGGAGAACUUGAGGGGAUUGAUCAAGGUUCCUCACUUAUUGCUCGAUCCAGAACCUAUUGGGAUAGCACCUUUUCCUCUUAUUAGUAGGCCAUCUUUCCCGUUCAGUUCCUCUCCGGGGCAUAGCAGGAUGAACCAAUGUGAAUGAGUGUAAGCUUCGUUGUCCGAACACGAUUGGUGCUGACCACACUAGGUGCUACCGUGGUAGCAAGAGAGGCCAGGCGGUGACAAUUGAGAGGUUGUCACUGAGCAUUCGUAGACACGGGAAAAGAGGUCAAAUGGCAAGGCAAGGCCAUAUGCUCGUUUGGCUCCUCGCGGAGUAUUAGCUCACAUCCAAACAUCUGAUUGGGGAACGGGGCAAGGUAGUUGUGGUCUGGUUUUAGUUUUGUGUUAGAUCUUAAUGCCCCUACCCCUUCUACAGGGAUACCCUACUUUCCGGUCCAGCUUCACUGAACUUCUCAGAUUUAGAAACCUGAUCUACUUUCUCAUCAGCCUUCUUUUCCGUUUUCGGUUAGACCUGGUUGUGGUUCUCUAUUAUUAUGUUCAAUCUGUUGCUGUAGUGAAUCCAUCUGGAUUGGGAGAUUCAAUGAUGCCUCCAGGUCCUUAGAAUAUGUAUUUCUUGGUAAGAGGUUCGAGUCGUGUGAUUAUUUCCGUUUUUCUUGAUGGCAAUGAUUAACAAUCUUACUAAUGUGAUAGUGUGGGACAUGAUGCAACUUCAUAUUACUGAGAUUAUGACUCUAGAUAGGAAGGAAUGUGGAGGUCGCAUAUUAUGGUAGAGGGAUAGUAGAGGUGGAGGGGUGUCUUGCCUUGCAAAGGUUUAGGCUUGUUUGUACCUGUCAUAGUGUCGUACCCUCGUAGUUCUUGCCAUAUGUUGUUUAUUGUGUUUUCGAUUAUCACACUUUAUUGUUGUUGCUAGUGUUUCUUUCUUAGAGACUUUGCACUGCUUUUCUUAUUAAUGACUAUGCUUUCUUUAUUCUUUUCUUUUUUUACUUGGAUUUGAUGCACUUGAGCCGAGAAUCUUUUGGAAACAUCCUCUCUAUCUCCGCGAGGUUGUGAUAAGGUUUGGUAUACUCUAUCCUCCCCAGAUCCCACUUAGAGGGAUUUCACUGGGUAUGUUGUUGUUGUACAAAUAGAUAGUAAUAAUCUGUUCCAAGCUUGUAAAAAAUAUCUCUUCCGCCUCUUAGUGAAACCCAUCUUAUGGUGUUCAGAGCAAUAAAUAUGUUUUUUUCUAUUCUUCUUACAUAUUCAGAAACAAUGCAAAACUGUGUUUAACCAUUUGACCCACCACCUACCCUGCCCUAGUAUGGAUUAGCAAUAGAAAUUAUUUACCCGCCCUACCUCGACCCGUUAAGGCUUUAACCUGCCUCAAUUGCCAUCCCUGCCUUAAGGUGUGUUUGGAAUUGGGGAAAAUGACUUCCAGGAAAAUGUUUUUGAUGUGAAAGUCAUUUAUUGGUGUUUUGGUACGACAAAGGUCAUUUUCUCAUGGAAAGGAGGAAUAUGACUUUCCUCACUUAUGGGUAGAAGUCAUUUUCCGAGAUUACCUUAAACUACUUUGAACUUCAUAUCCAUUACUUCAACAAAUACUUAAGACAUUAUAUUGAUAUCUUGUAUUCACAGGAUUUAUCUAAGCACACUCCAAUUUGUUGGUAUUAUUGUUGAUCUUACGUAUUUAGCUCCCCUCUGUGCAUGAAGACAAAUUUACUUGUUUUUACAAUUUUUUUUCUUUCCAAACAGCGUUUUUGGACUACUUAAUGAAAAAUAAUUUGAAGACGAGUUCAAAUAUGAGAAAGUGGUUUUGACCGGUUUUUCAAGUUCACUACCAAAUUUUUAACAGUUUUUCAAGUUAAAUGCACGUCCAAACUCAACUCAAUUUUGAAAUAUGUUUUUUUCAACUAUUCUUCAAAUACAACUUUUGUGCAAUAUCACAUUUUUAUGUCCGAACGGCUACUUAUUUUUCAUAAAAAAUGACUUCCAUCAUAUAACACAACCAAGAUGUACUGCAUUUUCCUCAUCUUGUGGUGGUUGGUGUCCUGUUAAUGAUGUACUAUAUUUUCCUUAGUGCAAACGUAACAGUUUCUCAAAAUAAAAAGGGAAUCCUCCUCUUGAGGUUUGUAAUCUAUCUUUUCUUGUCAUUUCGUUCUUGAACGUUCUUAGCUGUUCUUGUAACUGUGAACUGGCAAGUGGUCAUUUAGUUUGUUAAUCUAUUUGAUCUAGUCUAUAACGAGGAUACCACGGUGUUAAUCUCGGAGGGAGAGUAGGUGGGUAGGUUGGUUGUGGAUUCAGCCUCUGACCAGUUGUGAAUUCAGUUGCAUCAGGGACUAUAGUUCUAAGCAUGAGUCUUUUGGUAGCUGUGGUGGUUUGGAUAUCUUUAUCCUUCUAUUUGUAAUUCGUUCCAAUUGGUUUUGGUAUUAUGGUACUGCAUUUGUGAUAUGGGUAUAUAUUUAGGGAAUUAGCAUUUUGGGUAGGAUCCUUCAAUUUUUCUAUGCCUUGUUGUUCAUAAGAAAUAAAGGCAGUUUUAGUAUUUGGCUUUUGCUGAUGCUCUGCAUUUAUGGUGAUUAAGUGGCUUCAGGAAUCUUGUCAUGUUAUCUUGUUCAGAUGUGUUGGAAAUGCUAUUAUGUUUGAGAAAUUUUUCCGUCUUUAUGUGCAAUCUCUUUGGCCUUUUAUGGGGCUUCAAGUUGAUUUUUUUGUGCAUUAUGGGAUGUAGAUUAGAUAUUUUCAAACACUUUUUAUUAUUCAGUAUAGAGAACUAUAGUUCCGUGUGGGGGAUGAAAAUGAGAAUAUGCAUUCAGGUUCUGGGUGCAUUUUGAGUUCUCUUGGUUGACAGAUCCUACUGUGUUAGGCUUGAUUCCUUGUCUUACCUUUGACACUGCAUUUACCUUGCCUGUUUUUGGUUUCACCGGGUUAUUAUUGUAGGUGCGACUAUGUGUAUGAAGGUAAAUGUUUGGUUGCUGCAAGUUAUACUGUGAUAUUCUUAGCGAUAACGGAGCAAGAUUUAUUAGUGUAUCUUUUGGUGUUUGUGUCCGCAAAAAAUUAGUACGUUUACUCAUAUUGGUGUCCUUUGGCUGAAGAUAUCUGAUAUUUUCCCUGCAAGUUGAAGCUUCCUUGAGACUGCUUGUAACAUGAAGGUUCUCAACUGGCACUGCUCUCUGUUUCUCUAGAGUCUCGUGCUGCUAUAUUCAUCCACAUGCUUAUGUUCUUAGCACUACCAGAGGCGGCCUUCUUUUUGGGGGAUGGUGUAAGCCUAAUCUAAUAAUGUUAUUUGGUGCUCUGGUAUGUGUUAUUUGUUCAGUCUGCUUCUACAUUAUUUUGUUUGUAAUAACACCAAAGAAAGGGGUCUGUGCACCAAUAUCUGCUAUAGAAGGAUUGAGCCAUAACAGAUGAGAAGCAAUCCAACUUCAUUUGCAUUUUAAGGAGACACUUUCUGUAAUGAUGUUGGGGAUGUUCAUCUCCAGUUCUGAGGUGGGUGUUUUUUGUGCUCCCAUUGUAAGUCUUUCCGGCUUAUAGAAAAAGGAGGUUGUCUGGUCUCUUAUACGUGAUGCUUCAGUCCCCUUUGUUCUGUCAUUUGGUGGUGUUCUCCCGCAUUGCAGAUGGUAGAAUCUUUGGACUCUUUUCACCUCUAUUAAUCUGUAAUCAUAUGUUUUUGCUUAUUCUCUGGCUUGUCUAGUCUUGGUAAAUGUUGGUGGAAUUUUUGCCACUUGAUUAAUUGGGGUUAUUUUCAGUCUUAUUACAGUAGAUAUUAUUGCUGAAUAUGGGUCUCGGAGAAUUUUGAGGAAUAUAGGGGUGCAAUUUCAGAGCAAUCCUGCAUCUGUUUGUCUGUUCAUGAGAACACAAAUACUUGGCAAUGAUAAGUAGAGCUAAUUUCUCUCUCCUCUUUCACUUAAGGUAUCCUUCUACUUUCCAUAUUUAGCAAUCAAGAAUUAGAACACAAAUACUUGGUAAUAAAAAGUAGAGCUAAUUUCUAUCUCCUCUUUCCCUUGACGUAUCCUGUUGUUACUUUCCAUAUUUAGCAAUCAAGAAUGCAAGAAUUCUCUACACUUUCAAGGCUGUUUCUGUGGCUUUUGCGUGUCAGGGUUUAAGGUUUAUAGUCUCCAUCCCGCCUUUUCUUUGAAUUCUGGCUAGGUCUGAGAUGCUCCUUUGAAUAUGUAUGAUGACAUGCAGUUCCUUAAGGGAUACGGGUUGUUAUCCUCCUUUCUUCCAUGAUUUUGUCUAUGUGAAAAAGUUGUUAGGUUUUGGUUUGCACGCAGCUUGCUUAGGUCUUCAUUUGCUUCCAGGUGUUAUCCGAUACCAUUUCUCCUAGUUGAUCAAUCUUGAUGUUGCCUUUCUUUGUUCUGUAUUUGUCUAUUAUUUUUCAGGUUUAGAUCUUGGGCAGUGUGGUGUGUGGUUGGUAUUGUCUGGGCUAUUAUGUUGUUAGAUUGGACUUUGAUGAGAUAGAUGCUAGUAUUUGCUCUGGGUACAAGUUCUUGGCCUUUUCCUUUCCAUGGAGAAAUUCAGUUUUGCAUGUUACUUUAUUGCCUUCAUUACUUGUUGUCCAAGUGUGUAUCUCCUAUAUUUUGUUAGGAGGCUUGAUAAUUCUAUGGUCUUCUAUGUUUGUCCUGGGAUUAUUGGUAGAGCUGCAUUUUGUUUUGUUUUGUAGCUCAAUAGUCAUAGGUAUGGCAUACUGGGUGCAAUAUUUUUGUGUGGGGGACCCUUGUAACUCCGCCUGUCAAAUCAGCCGGUCCCAAACCCGGAAAAAGGAGGAGGGCAAGUAUCGAUGGUGAGGAGGUAAUCAUUAGUUUCUUCCUCCUCGCUGGUUUGUGAGUUUCUUGCUAAUUUAAGUAGUAAAGGUCUUUUAUGUUUGCCCUAAUAUCAUUUGUGGAGUGUAAUUUUAUUUUCAUCUCACUCAAUAAUAACAAAAGUGGGUUCAGGUGCAACUUUUCCUGUGUGGCUAGUAGGCCUCAAAUCAGCUGGUUCUAAGUCUUGAAAAAGGAGAGGGCAAAGUGUUUUAAGGAAUGUUGCUUCUCCUGUGCACUUAAAGCUAUUGGUUAGUUUUUUCUGCUAGCUUUUAGGGACGGUGUUCGUCAUUCUCAACAAGUUAUGCGUUCACUUGUUUUGAAAGACUAAUUUCAUAUGCAAAUUGUGUCCACCUAAAAUACUAGCAAAUGAACUACAGGAUUUUGAGAGCAAUGCCUAAUUAGUUUUGCCAGGGUUGUGCUUUUGCAGGGUUAGCUGUGUGUGACUCAUUGUAUUAGAAGAGGUGUCAGUGGAUGAAAAAGAAUUUUUGAAGGCGACAAAAGUGCAGAAGUAGCUUUUGGCCGCUUUGCUGAUGUUUUCCGAGUCAAUGUCAACAGAAGUUGAAGGUCUGGAUUGGAGGUAACAAAUCGGACUUCUGCUAACGACCAGCACCGUCUCCAAUGCGCGAGGAUGAACACGAGGGGAGCUCAAUCCAGAGGGUGCGAAAUCUCCAUGAGUCAUACUUGGGAUUGAAGUGAACAGGUAUCAAAUAUAGAUGAAAUACUAGCUUGGUUACUGUUUAGAGGACAAACCUGAUUGUUGGGACAAGUUCAAUAUAUAUUAUUUUCCUUUAUUAGUAGACAUGUAUAGUCACAUUGUAAUUAUUCCACUAAAACGAAUCACUUCAUCCUAUUAUAUGCCACUGCAUAUCAAGUCGGCAUGAAACGUCAAUUCUUAAUUAAUAAUCUUUCUUUUG